UACGUAGGGGGCUAGCGUUGUCCGGAAUCAUUGGGCGUAAAGCGCGUGUAGGCGGUCCGGUAAGUCCGCUGUGAAAGUCGGGGGCUCAACCCUCGGAUGCCGGUGGAUACUGUCGGGCUUGAGUACGGAAGAGGCGAGUGGAAUUCCUGGUGUAGCGGUGAAAUGCGCAGAGUAUCAAGGAGGAACACCAAUUGCGAAGGCAGCUCGCUGGGACGUUACUGACGCUGGAGACGC
rnacentral:rRNA from 1 species